GAUGAACGCUGGCGGCGUGCCUAAUACAUGCAAGUCGAGCGAACAGACGAGGAGCUUUCUCCUCUGACGUUAGCGGCGGACGGGUGAGUAACACGUGGAUAACCUACCUAUAAGACUGGGAUAACUUCGGGAAACCGGAGCUAAUACCGGAUAAUAUAUUGAACCGCAUGGUUCAAUAGUGAAAGACGGUUUUGCUGUCACUUAUAGAUGGAUCCGCGCCGCAUUAGCUAGUUGGUAAGGUAACGGCUUACCAAGGCAACGAUGCGUAGCCGACCUGAGAGGGUGAUCGGCCACACUGGAACUGAGACACGGUCCAGACUCCUACGGGAGGCAGCAGUAGGGAAUCUUCCGCAAUGGGCGAAAGCCUGACGGAGCAACGCCGCGUGAGUGAUGAAGGUCUUCGGAUCGUAAAACUCUGUUAUUAGGGAAGAACAAAUGUGUAAGUAACUAUGCACGUCUUGACGGUACCUAAUCAGAAAGCCACGGCUAACUACGUG
rnacentral:rRNA from 1 species